GGGGAUGUGGUCCAACGGAAAGAUACUGCUCCUCGUGCUUGACUACCGUCCUGCACAUCAGAGAAAAUGCAGUGAUGCCUGUUCGACUCCGGCCUUCUCCA